CGGGACCGCACAAGCGGUGGAUGAUGUGGAUUAAUUCGAUAGCAACGCGAAAACCUUAACCUACCCUUGACAUGUCCGGAAUCCCGAAGAGAUUUGGGAGUGCUCGCAAGAGAACCGGAACACAGGUGCUGCAUGGCUGUCGUCAGCUCGUGUCGUGAGAUGUUGGGUUAAGUCCCGCAACGAGCGCAACCCUUGUCAUUAGUUGCCAUCAUUUGGUUGGGCACUCUAAUGAGACUGCCGGUGACAAACCGGAGGAAGGUGGGGAUGACGUCAAGUCCUCAUGGCCCUUAUGGGUAGGGCUUCACACGUCAUACAAUGGUCGGUACAGAGGGUUGCCAACCCGCGAGGGGGAGCUAAUCCCACAAAGCCGAUCGUAGUCCGGAUCGCAGUCUGCAACUCGACUGCGUGAAGUCGGAAUCGCUAGUAAUCGUGGAUCAGCAUGUCACGGUGAAUACGUUCCCGGGUCUU
rnacentral:rRNA from 1 species